AAUCACCAAUUCUAGGCAUCAAAAAUCAUAAAACAAACUAAUGUUACAAUGAUCAAAUAACAUUCAUUUUGUUCUAUUUUUCUUGUUUUAGUGUUUGUACAUGUUCUCAUUGUAACAAAAGAAAGGGAGGAGACUGCAAAAUCGAAACAAGUUCGGAAUAUGUCUUCAUCGUUGCCCGCACGCUCAUGGACCAUCUUGGAUCUGCUCUGCUGAACUCACAACACCGACACGACAGAUUCCGUUCGUGAUGUUUAACACCAACCCAUCACCGUGACGACACCGUCUCAACGUCAUCCUCGCGCUUCCAUUCAAAUCGCAACACCAGCGUUCACUAUAUGCCGACGAAGCAGCGCAACCUUCAUCAACGCUUAAAAUUUCAUUCCGUAACUGAUUCCAACAACAUAUCGACAUAACUCAGAACGCUGCUACAAGCCUCAAUACCAACCGGCAAUAAUCAGAGUCAAUCAUCACACGGCGUCGACAACGAGUUAAACCUUCCCCGCGUCGGAUCCAAAUCAACCGCCAUUAUCUCCUACCGCAAACUGCAAAUCGCAUCUCCUUCGAUUCAACACGACAGCAACACAACCUUCAGCCAAUUCCAACAAAAUCCGCAUAAUAAUACUUUUCGGUGGAGUCUUCUUUCCUUGAAAUAAAUGUGUGGUUGCUUUGUUAUGGAUCACCUGCAUCGUCUCCGCUAGAAUCUCAAUCGGUAUAGUGUUACUAUUGGAGAUGUCUGAGGAACCCCUUCCAACGUUUCCACCUAUGAAGAGAGAUGCAACAUUAUUUUUUUCAGCGACAAAGCCUCCGUUGAAGAUCAAACUAUGGAACACUCAAACUUUCGAGCAUCUACAGAGGCACUUGAUAGGAUGGUUAGACGAAAACAUUCUUGAGGGUGAAAAGAUAAGGAAAAUUGAAAGGCAGGUCACAGAGAAAGGCCCAAAUGGAGUAGUAACUCGUUCUUGGAGAGCCAUAAAAAAUGACGCUGGUGUCCUUAUGAUGAUGCUAGGACCACACGAUAUUGUGUUGAUGGUUGUAAUCUCUUAGAAUAUGUUUGUGUUGAUGGUCGUUUUAAGUGUUUCAUGUGUGGUUGUUUUAUUUGUAGCGGUCUUUAUUUCGAUGUCAUUGAAUGUUGUAUUGGUAAUGUGAAAUGUUGUUUUAGUUAUGUUUAAUGUGAAAUGUUGUUUUAGUUA